rnacentral:piRNA from 1 species
UGCCAAGGACAACUCAAUCGGAACGUGCCAU